rnacentral:ncRNA from 1 species
AUAACGCCAAUGAUUAAGAGUAGUAAUCAGUUUUAUCUGCUUUCAGAGAGCCGGCAGAAGGAUGCGAACCGGCAGCAGAUUCUGCAUGAAUGGACUUAUAGGCUCGGGAGGAAAGGAGAAUUCCAAGUAAUGCCCGACGGGAGCUUCAUCCGUUAUCAGCGAAGCAUAUAUUUAUGUAUAUGAAAUAAGAGGGCGCUAUGCGCCAAACCGGGUGGUACCGCAGAAGCUUAUAACUUUUGUCCCAGUA